rnacentral:rRNA from 1 species
AUUGAACGCUGGCGGCAGGCCUAACACAUGCAAGUCGAGCGGAUGAAGGGAGCUUGCUCCUGGAUUCAGCGGCGGACGGGUGAGUAAUGCCUAGGAAUCUGCCUGGUAGUGGGGGAUAACGUCCGGAAACGGGCGCUAAUACCGCAUACGUCCUGAGGGAGAAAGUGGGGGAUCUUCGGACCUCACGCUAUCAGAUGAGCCUAGGUCGGAUUAGCUAGUUGGUGGGGUAAAGGCCUACCAAGGCGACGAUCCGUAACUGGUCUGAGAGGAUGAUCAGUCACACUGGAACUGAGACACGGUCCAGACUCCUACGGGAGGCAGCAGUGGGGAAUAUUGGUCAAUGGGCGAAAGCCUGAUCCAGCCAUGCCGCGUGUGUGAAGAAGGUCUUCGGAUUGUAAAGCACUUUAAGUUGGGAGGAAGGGCAGUAAGUUAAUACCUUGCUGCUUUGACGUUACCAACAGAAUAAGCACCGGCUAACUUCGUG